AUUGAACGCUGGCGGCAGGCCUAACACAUGCAAGUCGAGCGGAUGAAGGGAGCUUGCUCCUGGAUUCAGCGGCGGACGGGUGGGUAAUGCCUAGGAAUCUGCCUGGUAGUGGGGGAUAACGUCCGGAAACGGGCGCUAAUACCGCAUACGUCCUGAGGGAGAAAUUGGGGGAUCUUCGGACCUCACGCUAUCAGAUGAGCCUAGGUCGGAUUAGCUAGUUGGUGGGGUAAAGGCCUACCAAGGCGACGAUCCGUAACUGGUCUGAGAGGAUGAUCAGUCACACUGGAACUGAGACACGGUCCAGACUCCUACGGGAGGCAGCAGUGGGGAAUAUUGGACAAUGGGCGAAAGCCUGAUCCAGCCAUGCCGCGUGUGUGAAGAAGGUCUUCGGAUUGUAAAGCACUUUAAGUUGGGAGGAAGGGCAGUAAGUUAAUACCUUGCUGUUUUGACGGUACCAACAGAAUAAGCACCGGCUAACUUCGUG
rnacentral:rRNA from 1 species